rnacentral:snRNA from 1 species
AGCUUUGCGCAGUGGCAGUAUCGUAGCCAGUGAGGUUGAUCCGAGGCGUGAUUAUUGCUAAUUGAAAGAAUUAUUUAAUUUUAUUUAUUAUUAUUUUAAUUUGCCAUAGGGCA